rnacentral:rRNA from 1 species
UUUUAUUKGACGGGUAAAAUUAAAUACCKGRGUAGUAAUAGUUAUGAUUUUAAACCUCAAGGCAUUUGGUUUUUUUUUUGUCCUUUCAGAGGAAUCUGUCCUGUAAUUGAUAGUACACGAUUUUAUUUACUUAAUUUGGUUGAUCCGUUUAUAUACCGCCGUCGUAAGAUUAUCUUGUGGAGAGUGUAAAAUUUCUUUUUUUGUUAUAGAAUAUGUCAGGUCACGGUGUAGCUAAUGAAUAAGUAGAGAUGGAAUACAACAAACAUAUUUAUUAUGGUUAGUUGAUUUUAAUUAAAUUAGGAGGGGGAUUUGAUUAWAAACUAGUUGAAAUUGAUUUUUUGAUUAKGGCYCUAAAAYUUGMACAAAUCGCCAACACUCCCGUUUUAA